rnacentral:rRNA from 1 species
CCCUUAGAUGUUCUGGGCCGCACGCGCGCUACACUGAUGCAUUCAACGAGCCUAUCCUUGACCGACAGGUCCGGGUAAUCUUUGAAUCUGCAUCGUGACGGGGAUAGAUUAUUGCAAUUAUUAAUCUUCAACGAGGAAUGCCUAGUAGGCGCAAGUCAUCAGCUUGCGUCGAUUACGUCCCUGCCCUUUGUACACACCGCCCGUCGCUCCUACCGAUUGGGUGUGCUGGUGAAAUGUUCGGAUCGGCCGUUUGUCGCGGUUUCCGCGGCUCGUGGCUGAGAAUUUCAUUAAACCCUCCCACCUAGAGGAAGGAGAAGUCGUAACA